rnacentral:lncRNA from 1 species
GGGGCAUACCCCCGCCCCCAGCUCCGCACCAGGCAAACCUGGGCAUAUGGGCCUGCCCCUGCUGGUGAGGCGGCCACAACGGUGUGUGGGAAUGGGAUGCUCUGUGACCCAGGUGGUGUGGGCUGAGUCCCGGGAGCCAAAGGGCAGAGGCAGGAUCAGCCACGGGAUUCCAGCCUUGGGAACUCCCAACCCCAGGCUCUGGGAGAAGGAGCAGACACACACCAAUGUGCGAAUGCAGCUGCAACACUCGCUGGAAGGAGAGGAAGAAGAGACAGAGUGCAGGGCGUGAGCCUGGAGGCUGGGAGGCCCAGAAGGAGGCUGGCACAAAGGAGAGGGGACAGGCCAUGCAGUCCAAGGUGAGGAAGCAGUAUGGGCUGGUGUCAGGGCUGGUGGUGUGUGUUUGUGUGUGUGUGUGUGUGUGUAAAAAGUCCCCUUCAUCCCUAGAUUCUGAGGAAAGGGAGGGGCCCAUGCCAGCAUCCCCUCAAAGUCUGGGAAACCUGGAUCCCAGCCUCAUAGCGUCAGAACGUCAGAACAUCAGAACAGCCAGACCUGGCAGGGGAGGGGCCAGGGAGAAGGAGCAGAGGCAGUAUUUUCCCAGGGUCCCCUGGGGAGCCUGGCAGUGUGGACUGGGGGUGGGGCCGAGGAGGACAGAUGGGGCUGUGGGAGGGAGCAGCUGCCACUCUCCUCUCCAGGGAUGCCCGCUCCCCAACUCCAGCCCGCAUACCAGUGGGAGAGAUCGUGAGACCCUCCCCCUAUCCUUGCUCCCACCAGUCCUCAGUUUCCCUAGUGACACUGGAGAGACGAUCUGUGAGGACCCCCCCUGA